UACUACUAUUGAUAUCCCCAUGAAAUAUAAUUCAAUUUGUCCCAACUUUUAUGGUAAUAUGAAAUUAUUUAUAUUUUACACCUUCAACAUUCAAAUUCACAUCAAACUUUUAUGUGUAGGCAUUUGUAGCGAGAGAUGAAAUAUACUAAUUGAAUCAGUAGAUUUUAUAACGGUAAUAUUUCAUUCGUUAAAAAGAAAAAAAUUAAUUCUUUUUUUUGUCUGCUUUUAAAAAGAAUGAAUCUUUUUUUUUAUUUGAUAAUAUUUUUAUUUUAAUUUUUUAUUAAUUUUAAUUUAUAAUUAUUAAAUUUAAUUUUUUUUUAUAUAUUUUUAAAAAUGAAGAAAGUAUAUUGUGUCAUUUACAAAGUCAAAUAGGGGCAUCAAAAUCGAGUAUUCGUGUUUGGCAAUAACACCGGCGCUCACAUGGCAAUACUUGUGCAUGACCUGUUUUUACGGGGAAAAAAAGUGAUAUUCCUUUUGAGGUUAUUACGUUUAUUAGUUGCACGAUUGCAGUAUUGUAAAAUAGUUAUUUUGUUUUUUGUUUUCUUACCAUAUUUCUGUUUAUUCUUUUUGCAAUGUGUUCUAUUUUUCUUACUAUUCUGCUUUAUAAACUCUUCUAAUUUUGUGUUCAGAAUUUAUUGAAAUUUUUUUUUUUUUUUUCAUAAAAUAAGUGUAGGAUUUAUGUGUAUAUUCUUGUCUAUUUUUUUAAUUUAUUUUGUGAAUUAUAUCACACGUAAAAGAAAAUGUUGAAAUAGCAUGUGAACAUACAACUAUUAGGAAUGAUAAGAUUACGAAUGAAGAUAUUCAAAAUAAGUUGAAAUGACAUCUAUAGUAAAUAUGAUGAGAAAAUGAAUAUUGAGAUGUUUCGGACAUAUGUAAAGAAUACAUAUACAAAUAUAUAUUCAAUUUAAAAGGCGUGAGAGGUUAGAUAUAGUGAAUAUAAGAAGAGGUAGAGAUCGACCAAAAUAUUAUUCAGGAAAUAUGCUUAGACAAGACAUAAAGCAAUUUCGACUUAUCAAAAAUAUGAAAAUAUUAAAUCACAAAUUAUGAUAAAAAUUAAUAGGUAAUUGAAUAUUACGUUGCUUUUCAACUGGAUUAGGCUUAAUGCUAGCCUAGAGACCAUAUCUGUCAAAGUAAUAUUUUUGUUAUUUGAUAGCAUAUAUUGUUAAAUAUGUUUUGAUUAUCAUUGCACUAUUUCGUUAAUAUAACUAUUCCUAAUUAUUUGUAUGCCUUCAAUUUUUUUUAAAAAAAUAAUUGUCAUUUCUUCCUUUUUAUUAUUAUUUUAUUCAACUCCACUUGAAUUGAUGAUCUUUUAGAGAUAAUAUAAAUAUCUUUACAAGAUACGAAUAACACCUACGUAGAUCAUAUCGAAUCCAUUUAAUUAUUUUUUGUUUCAAAAAUAGUAAGAUCCCAAAUACAAAUUUAUGUAUAACCAAAAAAUCAUUUAAUAAAGGGACCCGCAAAGUGUUAUUGGGCCUAAUUAGAUGGCUAGUCGACCCAACAAUUGGGCAAAUGCAGGUACAGGGAAGAGUGAUAUACGUGCACGCAGCGUAUCGGUUUUACUGAUGAAAGGAUAAGGUUGGGCACGUCAGGAUGUCGUCGUUUUGGAACAAUAUCAAUUUGUUCGGACGAAUAUAACCCUACCCACUCUGCCAAUUGAAAGUUGACACCUCCUCCUUCUCUCCACUUUUUCUAAAUUCCCAGAAAAAUAUAUACUACAACAAAAUUGUUCAUACAAAGAAGAAGAAAUAGCAGCACAGCACAAGCAAGUUCACUCCGAUUGAAUAUCUCCGCCGAGAUCCUAGAUUUUCCGCCUCUCCAUCUCAAUGAGGUAGGGAUAAGCAGUGUACACUCUACUUCAUCUCAAUGAACUAAAGUGGGUAUGUUGCUGUUGUUGUACUGAGCAAUUUGUCUACUUACAGAUGUGAGACUUCUUUUUCUUCCUUCAAGAACUAUACUUUUUCGAGAAUGGAGCCAAAAUAGUUGGAAGCUAUCCUUCUCAGGCACUGAUCAAAUAGUAAGAUGAGAAUCUGUAGUGGGCUUAAUUGACUUUUAGCUAAUCUCAACCAAUGGAAGAUGAGAUUCUGCCUGAUCAUGAUGUUGAUUUGAACAUGUUGCGUGCACAAAGGUUUUAGCAUAUCUAUUCUUGAUUUAAUGUGACAAGAACUCAGUCAGAUUGAGGUUGCUCAUAUUGUCGGAUGAGGGUUGUUGUAGGCUGAAAACCUGUGUAAAAUUUGUCAAUUUGGGAAUAGGAGCUAGGAGAGGUAGAGAUAAGUAAAAAGAGAAAGUGAUUAUGUGUAUUGUUAUUUUGUUGUCUCCUUCCCUCUAUUACUUCUCUUUUUUCUUUUUUUCUUUUUGUAUGUUGAGUAUUUAUCGAAAAUAAUACCUUUUAUCUGUUGAGAUAGGAAUAAAAUUUGUGUAUAUCCUAUCCUUCUUCAGAUCCUAUUAGUGAGGUUCAUGUUAUUAUGACAGAUCUUCCUAAUAAAUGUCAUUGUAACA